UACGGAGAGUGCAAACGUUGUUCGGAUUCACUGGGCGUAAAGGGCACGUAGGCGGCUCGGCAAAUCGGUCGUGGAAUCUCGACGCUUACCGUCGAAACGGCGGCCGAAAAUACCGGGCUCGAGGGCGUGAGGGGUCACUGGAACUCCUGGUGAAGCGGUGAAAUGCGUAGAUAUCAGGAGGAACGCCGGAGGCGAAAGCGAGUGACUGGCGCGUUCCUGACGCUGAGGUGCGAAAGCGUGGGGAGCGAACAGG
rnacentral:rRNA from 1 species